AGGGUUUGAUCAUGGCUCAGGACGAACGCUGGCGGCAGGCUUAACACAUGCAAGUCGAACGCUCUCUUCGGAGAGAGUGGCAGACGGGUGAGUAACGCGUGGGAAUCUACCCAGUACUACGGAACAACAGUUAGAAAUGACUGCUAAUACCGUAUACGCCCUCCGGGGGAAAGAUUUAUCGGUAUUGGAUGAGCCCGCGUUUGAUUAGCUAGUUGGUGAGGUAGCGGCUCACCAAGGCGACGAUCAAUAGCUGGUCUGAGAGGAUGAUCAGCCACACUGGGACUGAGACACGGCCCAGACUCCUACGGGAGGCAGCAGUGGGGAAUAUUGGACAAUGGGCGCAAGCCUGAUCCAGCCAUGCCGCGUGUGUGAUGAAGGCCCUAGGGUUGUAAAGCACUUUCAACGGUGAAGAUAAUGACGGUAACCGUAGAAGAAGCUCCGGCUAACUUCGUGCCAGCAGCCGCGGUAAUACGAAGGGAGCCAGCGUUGUUCGGAAUUACUGGGCGUAAAGCGCGCGUAGGCGGGCUAUUAAGUUAGAGGUGAAAUCCCGGGGCUCAACCCCGGAACUGCCUUUGAUACUGGUAGUCUAGAGAUCGAGAGAGGUGAGUGGAAUUCCGAGUGUAGAGGUGAAAUUCGUAGAUAUUCGGAGGAACACCAGUGGCGAAGGCGGCUCACUGGCUCGAUACUGACGCUGAGGUGCGAAAGUGUGGGGAGCAAACAGGAUUAGAUACCCUGGUAGUCCACACCGUAAACGAUGGAUGCUAGCCGUUGGGCAGUUUACUGUUCAGUGGCGCAGCUAACGCAUUAAGCAUCCCGCCUGGGGAGUACGGUCGCAAGAUUAAAACUCAAAGGAAUUGACGGGGGCCCGCACAAGCGGUGGAGCAUGUGGUUUAACUCGAAGCAACGCGCAGAACCUUACCAGCCCUUGACAUACCAAUCGCGGUUACCGGAGACGGUUUCCUUCAGUUCGGCCGGAUUGGAUACAGGUGCCGCAUGGCUGUCGUCAGCUCGUGUCGUGAGAUGUUGGGUUAAGUCCCGCAACGAGCGCAACCCUCGCCAUUAGUUGCCAGCAUUUAGUUGGGCACUCUAAUGGGACUGCCGGUGAUAAGCCGGAGGAAGGUGGGGAUGACGUCAAGUCCUCAUGGCCCUUACGGGCUGGGCUACACACGUGCUACAAUGGUGGUGACAGUGGGCAGCGAGACCGCGAGGUCGAGCUAAUCUCCAAAAGCCAUCUCAGUUCGGAUUGUUCUCUGCAACUCGAGAGCAUGAAGUUGGAAUCGCUAGUAAUCGUAGAUCAGCAUGCUACGGUGAAUACGUUCCCGGGCCUUGUACACACCGCCCGUCACACCAUGGGAGUUGGGUUUACCCGAAGGCAGUGCGCCAACCUUUUGGAGGCAGCUGACCACGGUAGGCUCAGCGACUGGGGUGAAGUCGUAACAAGGUAG
rnacentral:rRNA from 2 species